AAAAAACUACGGAUCUAGCUAGUGGAAGCCGCUUCAAAAGACAUCAAUAUCAUGUUCAUGAUGUGCGGAACAAUGAUUUAGGAAGAAAUUCCGAUAUACGUAAUAGUCAGUGGAUUGAACAAUUAUCGCAAAUCCCAAAUAACGAAAUACUACGGCCGACAUUUGACGGGAGUUUAUUAGUCUCACCUCCAGCGGAGGAUGAGGAAGUUGAUUAAUUCAGCCAAUAUAAACAGAAGCAGUCCAGAGCGUGAUAGGCCGAGAUCAUCCC